GACGAAGAACGCAGCGAAAUGCGAUACGUAAUGUGAAUUGCAGAAUUCAGUGAAUCAUCGAAUCUUUGAACGCAUAUUGCGCUCUCUGGUAUUCCGGAGAGCAUGCUUGUUUGAGUAUCAGUAAACACCUCAACUUCCAUAUCUUUUUUGAAAUGGGAGUUGGACUUGAGUGAUCCCAACGCUUUUCCUCACCGAAAAGUGGCGGGUUACUUGAAAUGCAGGUGCAGCUGGACUUUUCUCUGAGCUAUAAGCAUAUCUAUUUAGUCUGCCUAAAAAACAGAUUAUUACCUUUGCUGCAGCUAACAUAAAGGAGAUUAGUUCUUGUGCUGACUGAUGCAGGAUUCACAAAGACGGCUUCGGCCGACUUUGUAAACUCGAUCUCAAAUCAAGUAAGACUACCCGCUGAACUUAAGCAUAUCAAUAAGCGGAGGA
rnacentral:misc_RNA from 1 species